rnacentral:rRNA from 1 species
GAUGAACGCUAGCGGCAGGCUUAAUACAUGCAAGUCGAACGGUAAGUUUGGUAGCAAUAUCAAACCAAGAGUGACGUACGGGUGCGUAACACGUAUGCAACCUACCUUGUACAGGAGUAUAGCUCGGGGAAACUCGAAUUAACCCUCCAUGAGAUCAUAGAAUGGUAUCAUUUAGUGAUUAAAACUCAGGUGGUACAAGAUGGGCAUGCGUCUGAUUAGUUAGNGGCGGGGUAAUGGCCCACCAAGACGAUGAUCAGUAGGGGACCUGA